ACGAACGCUGGUGGCAGGCCUAAAACAUGCAAGUCGAACGCUCUAGCAAUAGAGAGUGGCGCACGGGUGCGUAACACGUGGGAAUAUGCCUUUUGGUACGGAACAACGUCUGGAAACGGACGCUAAUACCGUAUGGUCCCUUCGGGGUAAAGAUUUAUCGCCAAAAGAGUAGCCCGCGCUGGAUUAGCUAGUUGGUGAGGUAAUGGCUCACCAAGGCGACGUUCCAUAGCUGGUCUGAGAGGACGAUCAGCCACACUGGGACUGAGACACGGCCCAGACUCCUACGGGAGGCAGCAGUUAGGAAUAUUGGACAAUGGGGGCAACCCUGAUCCAGCCAUGCCGCGUGAGUGAUGAAGGCCUUCGGGUUGUAAAGCCCUUUCAGUGGGAAAGAUUGUGACGGUACCCACAGAAGAAGCUCCGGCUAACUCCGU
rnacentral:rRNA from 1 species